rnacentral:rRNA from 1 species
GUUCAAGAGUACGUGAAACCGUUUAGGGGUAAACCUGAGAAACCCGAAAGGUCGAAGGGAGAAAUUCAUUCGCGUUUCGACGCAGGCGUGGAACGUUGUUGUGCGACGGAAUUCACAUGUCUCGUGCGUGUUCUUCGGAAUUGCGUGCGAGAGUGAUUUUGCGCCCUUCGUUCUUCGAACCGGCGACGAACGCGUGCACUUUUCUUCUGGUAGGACGUCGCGAUCCGUCGGGCGUCGGUCUACGACUUGCGGUGGAGACCGUUCGUCGUCGUUUUUUACGAUGCGCGAACGGACCCGUUCGUUUUCCGACCGACUCGCUCGACGGUAUACGUGUAAGGUCGGAGGCCGCUCGAUAUUAUACGAAGCGUUCGACUCGUCGCAAGCGCGCCACGUGCGUCGGUACGCGGACCCGGUGCCGCGUCCGACUUCUGGUGACUGUUGGCGGCGAUGUUCUCGAACAGGACCUCUUUUCUAUCUCGAAAGAGAGAGAAAUUGACCGAUCGGCGACGCUAUAGCUUUGGGUACUUUCAGGACCCGUCUUGAAACACGGACCAAGGAGUCUAGCAUGUACGCGAGUCAUUGGGAAUCACUAAACCUAAAGGCGUAAUGAAAGUAAAGAUCUUCCUCGCGAAGAUCGAGGGAAGACGAACGGCGGCGGCUGCGUCGGUCGUUCGAUCGCGCGUCACCACGUUCCGCAUUCCCGGGGCGUCUCGUUCACAUUACGUGAAGAGGCGCACCAAGAGCGUACACGCUGGGACCCGAAAGAUGGUGAACUAUGCCUGGUCAGGACGAAGUCAGGGGAAACCCUGAUGGAGGUCCGUAGCGAUUCU